CAUCCUUGCGUGUCGGAGGGGCUUGAGGUCGCGAGGAGUCGAAGAGCAACGCGGCCGAGGAACGAGCCCAGGCACACACGAUGUGCGCCGCGUAUAAGUCAGCACUCAGGAUAUUUCGUCAUUUCCUGCUUCUCACGCGAUACAAUCUAAAUUAACUAUGUUCGCUUGGCUAGGCCUCCUCCCUCGCAGAGGCUCGCAUCUCUCAAGAAAAUUUCUUAUUUCCUAGCGAGGAGGGCACACGGCCGUCGUGCCGCCGUGAAACCAUCGCGGAGGGACCCCACUCGACAUCGCGAUCGUAACGACGAUCGUAACGACGAUGGUGCCUAAAGAACGAAGAAAAAAAAGCAACGUAUGGAGGAGAAAAGUAUUUAGAUAUACCGUGUCAGUGCUGAUGAAAAUGACAUUCCAAUGGUUUGGGAAAUAUUUUCCAGAAAUAAUGAGUUAUGUGUGACGAAUUGAAGAAGUUGCAGGAUUGUGGAGGAAGUAUAAGGAGGAUAAUUAAGAGUAUAGGCAAGGAAGAGAAUGUACAAGGAAGAAAGGGCAAUGGUAUGAGCAGAGAUCGGAGCAAAAGGGACCAACAAUAGCAGCAUCGACAGUUCGACGAACAAUAACGAAGGACAAUGACAAUGGUGCCGAAAACAAUCGAAGAAUCAUAACGAAGAAAUAAAGAGAUCGAUGAAAGUUCCGAUAAAGAACGAAGAAUAUGGUCGGCGAGGAUGCCAGGGCGACACCAUGACGACGAAACUAAUUGUAACGAGCGAACAAGGCGAGUGAUUGAAACGGCGAUGAUGAAAGUUCGAAGAGGGCGAAGACCUGGGCGGCUUUCACAAGCAGGCACGUAAAUAAUUCAGCUGGAAAAUCCAGCUUUAACGUUCCCGCGGCCGGAAGAGGCUCGCUAAGGUGUUCCACGCGCGUCGGGGAGAAAAAGGAAUUCGCGGAAAGAACCGUCGCCCGCUGACUUUACUCGGCCAUUCGUUACAUCGCCUGUGACGUUUUAAGAAACCUUCGCCGUUGCAGAUUCUAAUUCGUCGCGUUUCACCUCGGGGAGAGGUUGCGUUACGGUUUGAAGGUGCGUACGCCGGAGGAAGUAGGGCGUAAAAUACCAUGAACUUUGAACCGUACGUUUUAGAGGGGAAAUGGAGUGAAGAAAACUGCGUGGAAACAUUAAAUGCGACUGUUUGUAACGAAGAAAUAAGUAACUUAAUAAAUAACGAGACGAUAUAAUUGAUGAAAAAUUGAGAAGUCGUUUUAAAAUUGAAUGGUAUAUGGUUUUUUUAGUGGUAUAACGAAACUUACUUUAUCCGAUUAAGGUAACGUCAUUGUAGUAUAAUGUUGCUCAUGAUUUUUAGCCUGAUUUUUACUCUGCUGCCAAGUCCGAAUUUUUAUAUCUCAAGCUUGUAUUCAUUUUAGCAAACGAAAAAGAAGUAACAGUAAUAAUUAGUAAAUAAUUACCAGUAGUAACGAGUAAUAACUACGAUUAAACUGAAACUUAGCUUGAAGAUAAUAAAAUUAUUCCAACGAUAUAUCAUGCUAUGUUAACGUGAAAUAAUAAAACAUGUAAUCAUCGCAUCUUUUUCUAAAUUAUAUAGUACAGUGAUGUUAUCUUUUACAAACUCCUAAAUUUCAGUCUAGAUAUACAUUUUAAUUUUGAUUGAAAUUAGAACUGCACUUCAUAUUUUGCUAUUUCUUUACUUUACAAGAAACGAUAAGAUGGAAGGUUUAUGUUCUUCAGCGUGAAAUAACGAAAUGAAAGUUAAUAAGUAAAUUUGUAUUUGGGCCAUAAAUGUUCCAUCGAGUCAUGAUUUUCUUGAUGGCGUCGAUUGUGGACAAUCUGGCGAAGUCAUUUAGCGAUGCGAAGUGUUGCGUCAUCGGUUAAACUGAUUCGAGAGAUAUAUAUCGGUGGCUAUGGUUUGUAACUCGUCACGCUUAUAGCUCCGUUCUUAUUCUGUUAACAUAAUUCUUACGUGCGAACGAAAUUACUUUAUCUUUGAUAAAAAACAUUUAAGUAUGAAAAUUCAAUAAAAUAGAUAUAGAGGAAGAUAGAACGAUAAGAAGCGGUUUUCCAUUUCAGUUCACAUACUCUUUGUAUUAUCGACGACAUAUUUCUAUAUCCAAUAAUCCCGCAAUCGAUGGAACUUUGUCAAUCAAAAUACGAAUCAAACAUUUUUAUCAAUGUCAGAACGCGACAAUUUUUAUCACAUCUUAUUAAUAUUUAUUUAUCAACAAUUGGCGUUGAAAUAGAUUCAAUGAAUUUAACAAAGCGGUAUAUUAAUUGAACAAAAAGUAAGAAAUUAUAGUUCGCUUCCUACUACAUUAGCCUCGCCAAUCCAUGAACUGAGAAAUUUGGCAAAUGUAUGUAUUCUGAAUUUUGCGAGCUAACUCCCAUACAUCGAAAAUUCAGAAUUUGAGUAUCAGAAUUUAUAUCUAUUUUAUGUACAUUUAAUGUUCAGUGAUCGAUAUUAAACAAAUUGAAUAACCCAAGGAGAAAUAAAAAAAUCACACUGUACGUCCAUCACUACAAUCCGCGAACGAAAAGCAAGAUUUGUUACGUUAUCGAUGCUAUGACGUUCAGAGAAAUUUGGCGUCUGACCAGUGAUGGAUCGCAUCACUAGUUGCGCGUGAGUCGUCAAUUAUUUAGAUGAAAAGUAUGCACGAACUAUCAACAA